GUGGAUUAGUCUUGGUACUGCUGACAGAUUGUCUGUUCCUAAUGGCACUACAAAAUUUUUCUACAGGUGAAUGUUUUGGAAUGCUACUUAUCUUCAGUUUAAGCUCACCACUACAUCUGGGGCUAGAAGGAGCUUUGUCUCAGGCCAAGAUGGCAGGGGAAGUACUUUAUGGCUGUGGUGGAUUGAUUGGUCUGUCAAGCCACCUGCACUAUACAGAAUUGCUUAUGAUUAUGGGCUAAACUUAAUGAUCCAGGAAAAGUUGCCAGCAUGACUCCUUGGUGGUCAUUUUAAAGACAAGAUCAAUUUAUAAAAAUAAUAAGGAAAAA
rnacentral:lncRNA from 1 species